rnacentral:rRNA from 1 species
AUUGAACGCUGGCGGCAUGCCUUACACAUGCAAGUCGAACGGCAGCACGGGUGCUUGCACCUGGUGGCGAGUGGCGAACGGGUGAGUAAUACAUCGGAACAUGUCCUGUAGUGGGGGAUAGCCCGGCGAAAGCCGGAUUAAUACCGCAUACGAUCUACGGAUGACAGCGGGGGACCUUCGGGCCUCGCGCUAUAGGGUUGGCCGAUGGCUGAUUAGCUAGUUGGUGGGGUAAAGGCCUACCAAGGCGACGCUCAGUAGCUGGUCUGAGAGGACGACCAGCCACACUGGGACUGAGACACGGCCCAGACUCCUACGGGAGGCAGCAGUGGGGAAUUUUGGACAAUGGGCGAAAGCCUGAUCCAGCAAUGCCGCGUGUGUGAAGAAGGCCUUCGGGUUGUAAAGCACUUUUGUCCGGAAAGAAAUCCUUGGCCCUAAUACGGUCGGGGGAUGACGGUACCGGAAGAAUAAGCACCGGCUAACUACGUG